ACCUUAUCAUUCAACAAUAAGAGACGAAUUUGGUCAGGUCUUGAUUGAAGCAGCCAUAAGUUAUUUUUAUUGUGUGGAAGAUAGGGUUUG
rfam:Onion yellows phytoplasma OY-M DNA, complete genome.